rnacentral:rRNA from 1 species
AGUGGAGGGGGACGCCGAAGGCAGGGCUGAUGACUGGGGUGAAGUCGUAACAAGGUAGCCGUACCGGAAGGUGUGGCUGGAUCACCUCCUUA